rnacentral:rRNA from 1 species
AUACGUAGGGGGCGAGCGUUGUCCGGAAUGAUUGGGCGUAAAGGGCGCGUAGGCGGCGCGGUAAGUCUGGUGUGAAAGUCCUGCGCUCAAGGUGGGAAUUGCUUUGGAAACUGCCGCGCUUGAGUGCAGGAGAGGCUAUUGGAAUUCCCGGUGUAGCGGUGAAAUGCGUAGAGAUCGGGAAGAACACCAGUGGCGAAGGCGGAGUGCUGUACGACAACGGACGGUGAGGCGCGAAAGCGGGGGGAGCAAACAGGAUUAGAUACCCUGGUAGUCCACGCUGUAAACGAUCAAUACUAGGGUUGGGGGGACUGACCCCCUGCGUGCCGCAGUUAACACAAUAAGUACUGCGCCUGGGGAGUACGAUCGCAAGAUUGAAACUCAAAUGAAUUGACGGGG